UCAUCUCAGAUCGGAGGUGCUGAAGUAUGAAAAAGCCUGACAAGUUAACGAUGGCCAGACUUGUAAGAAAAGUUUUCAUCAGAGAUGGCUCCGAUGGGGACCCUCCGACACUCAAGUUAGAUUUCUUGCAACAAAAAGGAAAGAGCGAGUAUUUUUGAGAGGGAAAGGAGGAGUAUCUUAGGAUCCCUAUUUUACCUCUAUUUAUAGUGGG
rnacentral:lncRNA from 1 species